rnacentral:lncRNA from 1 species
AUGACGGCACGAUCAAGCCCAAAGACGACGACGUUUUCCUCGUCGUUUUCAUGGUCUUCUUCGCCGAUGAAAACAAUCCUGGGGAGGACGAUACCGUCGGAGUUGGCGGCGGUGGGUGUUGAAAUGGGGUUUGGGGAAAUGGCACGAGGUGGAAGGGGUGAGGAAGAGCGGAAGCAAAUGUAGGAAGCGAGGAGGAGAGUGGAGAGGAGGAGGAGGAAGCCGAGGGCGACGACGAUGGCGUAGCCGACGCCUAAAUUGGUGGUGAGAUAAGUAGGGGAUGAAAGGGGAGGGGUUGCCAUUUGAACGGAAAGGGAGAAUCCAUUUGGGGACUAAAAAAAAAAACACAGAAAACAAAAAGGAAGAAGAAGAUUGAGGAAGAGAAGGUGGGUAGAUGAAUGCUUUUGCCGCUGCAUUUAAUUUAAUACUUCAGCUGUUUUUUCCAAGUAGAGCCCCUGACAGUAAGAUUUCAUUUAGCUUUUUUUUUAAAAAUAAUAAUAAUAAAUUUACUUCAAA